CAUAGUCUUAAUCAAUAGCUGAAUUCAUAAGCCAAAUCAAUAACAUCUAAAGCCUGCUCAGUGCGGUUUCAAGCUGGUCUCCUGCAGGACUGGAUGAAAGAACGACUCAAUUUUCACUGCACUAGGUACCUAUCGAUGCCGACAUUGUUGGACUAUAGGAGGAGCAUUGGCUUCUAGCUGCAUCCCAGCUCGCUCUCAGAAAAGGUCAGGACCCAAGAUACUGCCUUUUGCCUGAGAACCAGAGCUUAAAAAGCACUUUCUUGGGUGUUCAUCGGCCCCAACCUUCCAGACUUUCCUCCUGGACUCCAGUUGAAGAUCUACAAAGCACUGCUACAAUAAUCAGCCUCACACAGAGAGCAUCUCAAAUGUGUAGAACCCUGGAAAUGGAGUUUCUCAGUUGAAGGAAAUAGGCAUUAAAAAUGAGCCCAAGUGUGUACUCACGUCCCAGGCUGUGUAAACGCCACGUCUACAAGUCACCCAUUUUCUGCUGAGUUGGGAGUAUUGUUUGAUUUGCGGGAGCUUUUUAUGGAUUAAAGAAAUUUCAAAUUGUAUUUUAUCUAGUAUAAUGCUUUGUACCUGGCAGAGUCAACAAAUGAAAAAUAGGCACCGAUGAAGUCCACGAAAGGCCUGAACUCAGGGAUGACAGGAGAGGAGACAGAGCUGCUGAGGGAGAGUCAGGGACACAACACAGCCAGCGGUGCGGGCAGAACAAUCAGAAAACGGGCAAGCGGCGCGGGACAGCACUUAGUUACCUGGUGCACACAGGGCCUGGGUUUGAUCCCCAGUGCCACAAAACAGACCAAAUACUUAAACAGAUGGGAAAAUAUCCAUAGGGGAAGGAUUUUUUUUUCAGUAGUGAGGAUUGAACCCAGAACCUCAUGCUGAAUAGG